AGCCCUGAAAACUUAAGCCCGGGUUGGUAGAAACGACCUUUUCCACUCCCAUCCCAAACUAUGGUUUGGGAAAAGGUUUUACACUCGAUUGUGAGGAGACCACCUGAUGAAUCUUGGAAAGCAAUCAUAUACUCGUACUUGCAAUGGACCUUAAAGAAUUUACAUCAAAAUUAGUAGUACGUAUUUCGUGACAAGUAAAGUUAUAGUAUACAAGGUUCAGAAGUAGUAUGGCUUUGGCUUAUGACAAGGGAUGCAAGUGUAUGGAGAUAACAAAUUUUGGAUCAAAAGAAGUAUUAGUAUUUAUCUCAUGACAACUGAUGAAAGGAUGCAAAUGGUAGACAAAGAUCAAAUUGCAAGUAGUGGUAAUAGUGUGGCUUCUGUUUUAGUGUUUUCGGCGUGUCAGCAGAAUCAAUAAUGUAGUGUUACGAUUCAAGAGACAAUAUUCUGCUACUCUCUACUCAUGUGGAAACAGUUAUAUGAUCAAGGUGGUCUAUAGCUAUACUAGAUCUAAUAUAUUAAAAGAUAACGGUUGUUAAAUAGUAUGCUUGUGGAAUCUUAUCCCGUUACCCCUUUAGCUCCAUUGUA